GUGUAGCUGCGACGUUGGUGACUGCCAAUAAUGUUUUAUGAUCUAUGCCUUGUUUACGACGGGACUCAAGAUGUCUCAGUGGCAGUAGACCAAGCUUGUACUUGGAAACUUUAAACUGAGGCCACGAUUCCCACCCUGGAUUAUUCCAGGUCAAAAGCUGAGGUAAGACGGCGUUGCGGUGAACCU
rnacentral:other from 1 species